rnacentral:rRNA from 1 species
GACGAACGCUGGCGGCGUGCUUAACACAUGCAAGUCGAACGGAAAGGCCCUGCUUUUGUGGGGUGCUCGAGUGGCGAACGGGUGAGUAACACGUGAGUAACCUGCCCUUGACUUUGGGAUAACUUCAGGAAACUGGGGCUAAUACCGGAUAGGAGCUCCUGCUGCAUGGUGGGGGUUGGAAAGUUUCGGCGGUUGGGGAUGGACUCGCGGCUUAUCAGCUUGUUGGUGGGGUGGUGGUUUACCAGGGUUUUGAGGGGUAGCGGGCCUGGGGGGGGGCCGGGCACAUUGGGGCUGAGAUACGGCCCAGACUCCUACGGGGGGCAGCAGUGGGGAAUAUUGCACAAUGGGCGGAAGCCUGAUGCAGCAACGCUGCGGGCGGGAUGACGGCCUUCGGGUUGGAAACCGCUUUCGCCUGUGACGAAGCGUGAGUGACGGUAAAGGGUAAAGAAGCACCGGCUAACUACGUGC